CGGUAAAAAUACAAAAGUUUAGUGAAGUGUUUGUGUUUCAAUUUACGUUUUGUAAAAUGAAUUCUUAAAACGCAAGCAAUGAGCAAAUCGCCAUAAUGGUGGAAUUUAUGGAAAGGUACGUCAAUAACGUAUUUAAAAUGGUAAACACCCCGCAGGGAAGAGUGAGGCGCCAGGAACUUUGCCAACUAUUAAAGAUGUUGCUGGGUAAGGCAGGUAGUGAUCCUGACAAGUCUAUGGAGCAAUGGAUCAAGGACUACCAGUAGAGGAACAGUCAAAUGAGGAGCCUCCAGUUGAGGAACCAUCUAUCCAAAUACAAAUUUUGGAGCAGAUCACUGACAAUGAUGAACAAAAUUAUAUAUAUGUUGCCUCCUCUUCAAGAGUAUAGCUGCCCCAUCAUCAGUUCAAAGGAGAGGGAAAUGGCAUCCAGGACCCUCACUCACUGGCUUAUUAAUGUAAUGCUUAUGCUUUGAGAUGCAGUCUCAAAUGCAAAAACAUGUAACAUUUACAUUGGUUUUGGUUGUAACUUGUGUAAUUAAUGUUUAAGUGAAUAUUGAAAUAAAAAAUAAUUGUAUAUAAAUAAAGUUU